AGGACGAUCGAGUCCUUCUUAUUUCUUUUGCCGGCAGAGAAUAGCAUCGUGAGUACCAUAUGUGGUCGAAAUCUGAAAUUUUGCUGACGAUCGUCCAGGGACUACGAACUGUAUCCGUUAAGGGUUUCUGCUCAUUGGAGCGUUCUCGCGUAGUAGGCGGGAGUGUUCCCCGAGGAUUUCACAGCCGGGAUACAUCCAACGACCAAGAUUACACGGUGCAUUCUACUAUACACCAGUUUCUCCAGUUCCAGUGGUAGUUUGCUCUUGUUCUGCAAUUUCACAAAUCAGGAAUGAAAGAAAACAAGUAAAUAAAUGAAGAAAAGCAACAUCAAUGUACACCAGUGAUCAGAAUUUUUAUUGUUACUCGGAUUACACAUAGUGUUUCCACAUGCUGCCGCCUACACUUGUUACUUUACCAACAAUGCGUUUCGUACCAUCUAUCACGGCAUUCUUUACAGCUGGAUUGCAUAUAUACAUAUACACCGGUAAUCUACGAGAUAAAAAGCAGUAGAUAUUACUUUCAUCGAAUGCCGUAUCUCACGAUACGACGUCACAAUGCAGAUUCUCCUCAUUGACUAGAAUAUUUCAUCUAUAAUUAAUUUCCUACGUGAAUUCAUAGUUGAAGAUCACGUGGGAUAAACAUGAUAAAUUUACUUUUAAGCAAGUCGAACUUUAGUUGAACUCAGUUUCAGAGUUUAAACAAUAAAAUUGCAAUCAUUUUGUUAAAUCAAUUGACUUAUUUAAUAGACGAGAAGAAUCAGAGACGGGAGUUCUUCUUUAUUUUUUAUUUCACACUAGAUGAAUUUAUCUUCGUACGAAAUACGCGCGUAUUUGGGCAAAGAUCACAGCGCCAAUGAAACGGCGAAGUGUGCAAUUAUAAUCGAUAUAAUCUUGAUCUUGUGAUCGAUCUAUCGUAUUGACUUUACGUAGUCAGUUUUAGGCGCGAAACGAAGGAAGAAGGAGGAAGAAGGAGCUAGAGAAGAAGAUCUAGCAAUUAUCAGGACAUUCUUGGACAUCUUGUUUCCAUUGGUGUAUGUUGCUGCCCUCAUUUCAUGAAAUUCGUGGUGUGAAUUUGUUGUGUAAGAGUUAUUCUAUUGUCAAUUGUUGACCCAACUGGGCAAUACUUCUUCCAUUGUCAUCAUCUUGGCACGCAUAUCCAUCCUGAUGUUAAUUAACAUUUCUUCAGCCUUCAGUUCUUCCGUGGGAUUCGACGAUUUUUAUUUAAUGUGAGGUUUCACUCUCUGGGUCACAAUUACAUCGAUGACAACGUUCUUUGCAUCUAAUGGUAAGUCGCACUCAUUUUUGUUCUUCUAGUUACUCAGUCAAGUCGUAUUAUGAAAAAUUUGAAUUAACAAUGAACAUAAUGAUCGCGGGCAUUUAUUACAUUCGAUAGUUAAUAUAUAUAUAUAUACUUACGAAUAAUAUACGAGUCGAAGACCUCGAAAGUUGUCGGGAGUUAGUUAAAUUUUCAAGGUUCGACUGUAUCUACAAUGACAUGUGUUUAAUCUGAAAAGGGAAAUUCGAAAACGCGAAAAAU